CGAUUAAGUGAGACAGUGUACAUUUAUAAGAUUUUAUAUUGCUAAUAUGUGAUAUUAGUUAUAAAAAUAGUGCAAUUAUAUGUUCUAAAAUAUUGGCUAUUAUUAAAACCUCAAAUAUUUUUCUAAAAACUAAGUAAAAAGUAAAUUAUAAUAAAAAGCUGAGAUAAUGAAGCAUAAACAAAAUUCCAAAGUGAUAAAACUCAAUCAUCAAAUUCAACCAAAGAAAAAAGUGUUGUGUUCCAAAAUGAAUAAUAAAAU